rnacentral:tRNA from 1 species
GCCUGGGUGGCUCAGUCGGUUGGGCAUCUGACUUUGUUCGGCUCAGGUCAUGAUCUCAGUUCGUGGGUUCCAGCCCCACAUUGGGCU